AGUGAACGCUGGCGGUAGGCCUAACACAUGCAAGUCGAACGGCAGCACAGGAGAGCUUGCUCUCUGGGUGGCGAGUGGCGGACGGGUGAGGAAUACAUCGGAAUCUACUCUGUCGUGGGGGAUAACGUAGGGAAACUUACGCUAAUACCGCAUACGACCUACGGGUGAAAGCAGGGGACCUUCGGGCCUUGCGCGAUUGAAUGAGCCGAUGUCGGAUUAGCUAGUUGGCGGGGUAAAGGCCCACCAAGGCGACGAUCCGUGGCUGGUCUGAGAGGAGGAUCAGCCACACUGGAACUGAGACACGGUCCAGACUCCUACGGGAGGCAGCAGUGGGGAAUAUUGGACAAUGGGCGCAAGCCUGAUCCAGCCAUACCGCGUGGGUGAAGAAGGCCUUCGGGUUGUAAAGCCCUUUUGUUGGGAAAGAAAUCCAGCUGGCUAAUACCCGGUCGGGAUGACGGUACCCAAAGAAUAAGCACCGGCUAACUUCGUGCCAGCCGCCGCCGUAA
rnacentral:rRNA from 1 species